UACGUAGGGUGCGAGCGUUAAUCGGAAUUACUGGGCGUAAAGCGUGCGCAGGCGGUUCGCCAAGUCAGGUGUGAAAGCCCCCGGCUUAACCGGGGAGGGUCGUUGGGGACGGCGGGGCUUGAGGGCGGGAGAGGUCGGUGGAAUUCCCGGUGUAGUGGUGAAAUGCGUAGAGAUCGGGAGGAACACCUGUGGCGAAGGCGGCCGACUGGGCCGACCCUGACGCUGAGGCGCGAAGGCGUGGGGAGCGAACGGG
rnacentral:rRNA from 1 species